rnacentral:lncRNA from 1 species
UAUAUGUAUAGAUUAUAACAUGCCCUUUACUAUAUUGGCCCUGGUAUUAUCCCGAUACUCCCAUAUCGGCAUCGAGGCUUUAGCCGAGGACCGAUAUGGGUCGAGGGAUGAUACCAGGGCCAAUAUGGAAAAUACAUGUUAUAACCUAUUUAUCUCAUAUUUAAUUUCUGCAGAAUUGAGAGCAAAACAAAUCAAUUAUAACAAUUUAAUGAAACAUAACUGGUAAAAUCUUAAAUUUCUUAUCACAAAAGUUUUAAAAAUUGUCGUAAAGUACACAUGACGUCACGUCAUUUGGAAUCAGGGCACAAUAACCGAUAACCUCUGUUUUGUCCCGGGCAAUUUUGAGGUUAUUGCAUAUGCAAAACCCAAC